GGCAAAAAGGCCCUGUCCAAGGCACCAGCCUGGGAAGACAUUGCAGGCACACAGCAGAAGGAACUCGAAUGAGAGUCAGACACACACCCCACUUAAAGACCCUAUUGAAAGCUCUCCUACCCCUCCUGCCCCGGAGGAAAGGACUUGCCUCCUAAACCCUUCUGUUGCAUUUAAUUAAAGCUAAUCAUCUCCCCCCACUCUAAAGUAUUUCUACUGGUCCUCCUCACUAGAAUGACCAGAUGCAAUGGGGGCUUUCAGCCUCUUAGGUCACAGAGGGAAUAUUGGCAGUUGGAAUUAGUCAUGCAGGGUGAGAAAACCUGCACCUGAAAAAAAACAAACCCUCUUCUAAACUUUUAAAUGUGCAGAAACGCAUCUUUGUCUUGGCAUUUUGUCAUCCUAUCCUAUGACAGAAACAAAGGGAAAUGGUUUAAAACUGGCACCCAACAGAACGACGGUGGUGCAAUCACUGCUGUUGUUACUGGUACUACUGGUAAUUGGAGUAAGCUUCAAUGUGUGACAGGGCUGCAGUCUGAGGGGGAGGCAGAAGCUAGGAAACCACGAACCAUGAAACAAGCCUAUAGCCAGGGCUGAAGGACAAAUCGAAAGCAGGCAUGAUCAUGGAGCAAUCCAAAAGUCAAGACAGGAGAGCAAUUUAGGAAGCAGGAUUGAGAACCAAGCCAGAUGUCAGCACCCAAGGAUAACUAAAAGAACAAGAGCUGAUAAACUGGGAGAAGACGACUUCUGGAAGGAUUGAAUAUCCAGCCUAGAUAGAUGAGGUCAGUCCAGGACCCGACAAUCAGAAGUGUAGUGGUCUGGGGUUGGGGGGUGGUGGUGUCCUAUUUCUGCAGCAGGAUCCUUGUCUCCAGCGUCCUAGAGCAGUGUUUCCCAACCUUUUUCCGACCGUGCACCCUUCCAACCUUGUUUCCUUCCUGUAGCCCCUGAUAGGCAUAGCUGGGAGGGCAGGGGGCAGCUGUGGCCCCCCAUUUACGCGAUUUUCACCUGUGCCCCCCUCAGAAUAUACUGGGGAGCCCCAGUUGGGAAACACUGUCCUACAGCCACCCAAGUGGCACGUAAUGGGUCCUUUUUAGCCACUGAGAAGGUCUUCUUACCUGUUGUGCUGGCUGGAGCAAGAGUGAAAGGGCCACUGAGGAUUGAGCCGUAGGGUCAUUCUGGUGAAGGCUCGCAUGGAGAACACCAGCCCUCCAGAUGUUUUGGGACUACAACUCCCAUCAUCCCUAGCUAACAGGACCAGUGGUCAGGGAUGGUAGGAAUUGUCGUCCCAAAACAUCUGGAGGGCCGUGUUUGCCUAUGCCUGUUUUAAAGGGAUUAUUUCACUGUGUAUUUUAAGUAUGAGUGUUUAUACUGCAAUGUUUUUAUGGAUAUCUUUUCUUAUGCAUUAAUUAUGGAUGCUUAUAUUUUAAUAUUUACAUUAAGAGGCUUUUACAUUUCAUAAACUGCUCAGAAGCCUAUUUUGGCCUUAAGCAGAAUGUGCAUUAAUAAAUAAUAAUAAUAAUAAAGCCUAAUAACACUCCAUGGAAGUGGCUUGCUUACUUGGCUCAUUGGCUACUAUGUUAUGAAAACCCCAUUUGGAUCAAUGCAAAACAAGUGUACCUAAUGCCAAAGGGCAUAGCCAGGCAUUUGGUGGCUGAACCAUACUGUUCCUGGCAGAGAUGAUAUUUUUUACUGUUUUUAGAAGCUUUUACAAUCCUUUUUUGUGUGUGUUUUGUAGACUUGUGAUAACUGGCCCUAGGAAAAACUGGAAGAGUGAAAGUGAAAGAUAUAGCUUGAGCCAGGACAGCAUGCUUGCUGGUUAGUAUCUGAGCUGCGUGCUAACUGUGAGGAAUUCCCUGCUGAGUUUAAAAAGUCACUCCUCCCAGAGCUGAAUAGAGGCAGGCAGCCAGUCAGGCUCCACCUGUCAACAGCAGAAAAGGUUUGCAAGGAGCCCACAGUCCAUUGUCCCUGCUUCCCUCCUCCCUAUUCCGUCUUCUAAAUCUAAACUAUGCCAUAAUCUCCCAGUAUCAAGCAUAGGUAUGUGUAUGUAUGUAUGUAUGUGUGUAUGUAUGUAUGUAUGUAUGUAUGUAUGCACACACCCCUGUCUAUUAACCUCAGCACUGCUUCAAGGUUUCCCCAGACCUGGGGUGAAGCUAAUCGUAGAAGUACAGGAGCAGUUUCACACAUGCAUGCAAUCCCUUGAUGCCUUAUAACUUGAUGACUCACCACAAAAACAUUAAACAUUGAAAAACUCCCCUAUACAGGGCUGCCUUCAGUUGUCUUCUAAAGGUUGUGUAGCUUACAUUUUUAUGGUUGCCAUAUAUUGAACAGCAAAAACGAGGAUGCUAUGAUGGCUCAUUUUAAAUACCCCUACUAAAUGUAGGCUAUAGAAGCUGUGAUAUAUUGCUGAGGAGGGCAGGAAAAGAAGAGGAAAGCAAGUCAUCAACCACUAGUUAUGACUAUUUCUCAUUCAGAAAGUAUAGCAAGAGACUAGCCCUGUCUUUAGCAUAUGCGCCGCCAGGGGGCAAAGAUCCGCCCAGCACCCCCAAAUUUAGUUUAGCCCCCAAAUUAACUUUUAUUAUGCUUAUGUCAGACACCACACUUACGCCUUAUCUCUUGUUGUGAAUGACAAGUGCCGCCGUUGUGAAUGACAAGUCUUUGGUGAAUGAGCGCACAAAGUCUAAAGUCCUUUAGUGAAACAGUAGGUAUACAUUUCGGUAAUACCUAGGUAUAUAUGUAUUUUGUUUUUCUAGUUUGAUCAAAAUUAUUUAUUAUUUCAUAACAGGUAGAUAGUUAAGAGCUUAGGCGGCUUCAGUGGUGGGUGCCUGGCGCCCCCCAGAAUUUGGCACCCGGGUGCCUUGCACCCCUGGGUAAAGAUGGCACUGCAAGAGAUGUGUGGGCAAAUUUUUCAAAAUCCACCUGGACAGAAAUUUUACCCCUGAAAAAGAGGACGUGUCCUGGAAAAAAGAGGACACAUGGCAACCCUAUGGACAUAUCUCCUUGGCUCAGAGGUUGCAUAACUCCAUACCCCCCAACAUUUCACUGAUGAAAAUAGGGACAUCCUACCAUACCCUCCAACAUUUUUCCAAAGCCCUGAACCCCUGGCCUACCUGGCAGCAAGUCAGUACAUCGAAUCUCCAUUCCAGGGUCAAUCCACAUGCCCAAAGUCCAAACCAAAGCACAGUCCCACAGAAAUCCUGAAGCAUCCAAGCUGAAAUCCAUCAACAUGGGCAGUUAGUUGAACAGACCCAGCACCUCAGCUCUGCUGCCCUUUUAUUCUUUGCAUGCUGAUUGCAGCAUCUGAAUAAACACACGAGACGUAACCGGCUGUGUUCUUAGAUUAAUAAGGUAUACUAUUCAUGUAUCAAAUCAUAAAUUUCAAUGGAAGUAACUCAUAAAGUUCAACAAACGAACAAAGCAGAAGACCCAGUGGAUCAGAUCAUUCUUUAGUCAGUUCAUGCAUAAGGUCCAUCCGUGUAAUAGUGUCUAUUCCACCUGUCUGUUCAUAAGGUCCAAACAAUCCACAUGAAAGGUUGUUACAGUUUCACAGAGGAUUCUGUGGAACUGUAACAACCUUUCAUGUGGAUUGUUUGGAUCUUAUGAUUGCAGCAUCUGGGCUUGAUGAGGCAUGUGACCCUCACCUCUUCCAAGCCUACUCCAGCUGAGGAAUCACACCCCUCCUCCCAGAGCUAGCUAGUGAGCUGGGUUGUGGGCUCUUGCUUGCCUCUGCCUCCUGGAGUGUCCUGCCCGCUGCCUCAAAGCCCACUGUGUUCGUGGAGACAGGGGCUCCUCUGGCUCUGGUGAUGGGUCCUGCUGCUGUGGUUCCUGUGCACUGGCCCCCAUUCCCUUGUCAUCCUCUGUCACCCUGUGAGUAUUUCCUUCUCCGUCCCCUGUUUUCCCUAGUGUGUCCCAGUCCCAGCUACACCCCUUGCCUUCUUUUUCCUCCCCAUUGUCCUGCCACUCAUGACAUCCGAUGAAAAUAGGGACGUCCUAAGGAAAAGCAGGACAUUCAGGGAUCAAGUCAGAAACAGGAAUGGCUUUCCCUGGAAAAUAGGGGCACUUGGAGGGUCUGAGAUAGUCAUGGUCGCUGUAAUGUGAAGCAGUGAAUCCCAUGAAUUUGCUCUUUGGAUCUGGUGAUGACCAUUAACUUCAAAGGCUGGAGGUGACUGAGCCAAGAAGUAGUAGUUGUAAAGGGGGGAAAGCAUUCCUGGUUUUAGAGGCUUGCAACACAAACAACUGAUGAGGAAUCACAAUAAUGUUUACUAAUUUUAAAUGCUGCCUUUCUACCUAUGUAUCCAAGGCAAUUAAUGGCUUGCAAUAUAGUAGGCAUGCUGCAAUGCUGUGUGGAUAUGUAUAAUGCACCUGCACACCAAAAUAUAGCAACAAACCAGAUAUGUGGGUGUAGCCCAAAAAUUCUGAAGGGUGUUCUGUCCUGUUUCAGAAUGAGGUGGGGGUGAAAACCAAUAUUAACUCUAAAUCAUAGAACACAAUAAAUAUACAAAGCAGUGAGGGGCUUAGAGGUGAUUUAUAGACUGCAAAAAAAAAAAAAAAACCCCACACCCUACCAUGGGCCAAGCCAUCCUAAGCAAAUAUAAUGUAAAUACAUAUAAUCCUAUGGAUAAAUAGUUCAAUUUCAGCUCAGUUUCUCAUUUUUUCCAAUCUUAGAUUCAAUUCUCCACAUUUCUGCAGCAAUUUGUAGGGUCCUUAAAAAAAACAACAAGAUUCUCAUGAGAAGCCAUCCUUUUGGUGGAUUUCCCUUAAUGAACAUUUUUGUAUACAGUUUUCACUAACAUACAUGUUUUUGUAAGGAAUUUCACUUAAUACAAUGCAUUUUGUAUGUUGUUUUAACUAAAGGCUGCAGACAACCAAGCAAAUAAGCUGUUGUGAAGUCAAAGGGAGUUGAUUCUUUGUUUCUCCAUAUAUGGCUGUGUGCCACUUAUGGCUACUAGAGUUACGUAUUGGCAAGUGGGCUAAUAAACACUUUGGCCUUAUUUGCAAAGUUGGUGUCAUUGAACAAUAUCUGAGUUGGCUACAAGAAAUGGCAGCUCUGCAAGUUGCCCAACAAGAUGUAGGCUGUACUGCUUUCUAGUUUUCUUUUGCUGGCAUCAGUCCCUCUUUAUGUAGUGUACAUCUCUUCAAGACCUGCUGCUUCCCCCUGAAAUUCAUGGACUCCUUUCCUAGAGUAAACCUCACUCCUUGAAAGUGGGUUGAAAAUAACACCGAAACCAGAGGUCUGAGGAUGCUCUGCUUUGGAACAGAACCCAGAAUAUCCAUCCUCUCUCUGAGCCCGCGGCUGUUUGUCUCCAGUGUGAAGACCAGUCUAAAUGAAGGGAUAGAUGUACGCAAUCACAUUAGCAUAUGUAGUUCAGUGAUCAAGAACAUAUGAAGUCAUAGAUUCAGUUCUCAACAUCUCCAGUUAGAAAAUAUUUAGGGUACUGUGGAUGGAAAAGGGCUUCCCUGCCGAGUUGAUAUGCAGGAGUGGAUGGACCACUGGCCUGCUUUAGUGUAAGGCAGCUUAGGGUGAAUUAAGAACAUAGGAGGCUGCCUACUACUGAGUCAGAUCACUGUCCCAUCAAGCACAGUCUUGUUUACACUGACCAGCGGCAACUCUCCAGGGUUUCAGGCAGAGUAUCUCCCACCUUAUCUGGAGAUGCCAGAGACUGAACCUGUGGCCUUCUGCAUUCAAAACAGAUGUUCUUAGACAUGGCACCAUCCACACAAUUAGAAAUGGUAUGUAUGGGGGUUGUUGCUGUUCUGUUUUAGAAUAAAUAGCAAGCACAGUGAGCUCAUUCUGGAUCAGAACCUUGAUGAGGGUGGGGUAGGAUGCCACACAUCCACUGUGGUCCCAGUCUUCUCCUUCUGCCCAUGGCUGCUAAUUGCAAUUAUCUUACUACUUUGCUGGCCCCUACAAAAAUUCUCUUUCCUGCCCUGGUUUCUGGCGGGGGGCGGGGGUGGGAGAAAUCCAUUUUGGACACAAACAAGGCUAAUGGAAGAGCUAUUUUACAAGAGGCUGCAACAUUGCUUGACCACCAUUUCCCACCCAUUUCCUGGACCACCUUGAUGUACUGAUCAAAUCACUUCAUAGGCAUCAGUCACAAAGGAAGGUGGGCGUUUCUCAGAAUUUAUCAACUCACUAAGUGGGCAACCCUGGCCCCAACUGAGUUAACAUCUGGCAGAGGUAUGUUGCACGUUCUUUCCAGAAAGAAGAGAUUUAAUGCACAGGACUGGGAUUUGAGAAUAUCACAUACUAGAGAAUCUGGCCUUCACAGGCUGGUCCCUUUGCUGGCCACGGCAAAGUAAUUUUUACAAUAUUUGCCUACAAGAUUAUCUGGUCUGAAGAGGCCUUGCUUUGGUAAAAAAAAGGUAGAACUUAAUUAUCAGUCUACUGUUAGUUGAGAAGGAUUGUCCCUAAAAAGCAGAGAUAUCUCAGCAGGCUUCAUUAGCAUCCCACAGAAAGCUGUUGGUGGUCUCAGAUCAUUGAUCUUUCCGUUCACUGACUGUGGUUCCUUUUCCAAAGCAGGAAACUGUUGUCUUGGGUGCUGUGGACAUGUUGUGAUUCAAACUUCCAUCUCCAAGGCAAGGCAAACAGUCCAUGGGAUUUUUCAAAAAAUUAAAAUGGUGCUACUGCUGUGUUGUUAACUGGACUUGGGUGUCCAAAGCAUAUUCCUCCUCACACAUAUCUUGUGUGAUUGUUACCUUGCUUUCUGCUACAUACAGGAUACACUCAAACAUACAUUCAGCAACCCUCCUGCUCGCCUCCAUUUUGAACAGGGAUGGGGAAUCAAUGGUCCUUCAAGUAUUCCUAGACUACAACUCCCAUUAUCCCAAACAGGUGUGUCAACUUGAAUAAAAUAUUGGGGACAGGUAGGCCCCGCCCAGCAUAAUCAAUCACAAGACACGGUGCAAACACACUGUUUGAAUGGCAAUGCCUAUCAACUUUGAGGAGACCCAGCCUGAACCACAGCUAUCCUUCAAAAUUCACACCUCUCCCAAUUUUACAGUGCCAUUUAAUGUGUGCAAAAAUGAACGUGCUGUGGUAAAGUGUGCAUAACAAUGCAUAUAUGCAUGAAAAUAACAUAACAGAAAUGACUUACAGUGGUACCUCGGGUUACAUACGGUUACAUGUGCUUCAGGUUACAAACUCCGCUAACCCAGAAAUAGUACCUCGGGUUAAGAACUUUGCUUCAGGAUGAGAACAGAAAUCAUGCUCUGGCGGCGCGGCAGCAACAGGAGACCCCCAUUAGCAAAAGUGGUGCUUCAGGUUAAGAACAGUUUCAGGUUAAGAACGGACCUCCAGAACAAAUUAAGUACUUAACCUGAGGUACCACUGUAUAUUAGAAAACAAAAAUCACUUUAUUUAAUUGAGUUAUACCACCUUUUUCUCAAGGUACCUAAGGCAGUUAAGAAUUUUUAAAAGAGGCACUUUAUAUAAAUGUUGAGGGACAAGAAUCCUCUCAUGCCAACUGGGCACUGACAGUGUGUGUGUGUUCCCUGACUUGGGCUCCCUUCCUUCUGCCUUCCCUGGGGGCACACAGGGUGUGGCAGCCCCAGGGAUAGUCGGGGAGGAGCUGCCCCAACAGUUCUCUCUGGCUGAUGAUGGUGUGUGUACUCUCUGGCCUGGGUUGCAAAAAUUGUGUACAUUGGGGGGGGGGAUGUGAGUUUUCAUGCAGACUCAUGUGGGAAAAUGAAUUGAAGACUGGGAAAAUGAGAAACUGCACGGAUGCUGAAAUGGACAGAUUCACCCCAACCCUAGCCAUGGGCCAUGCCACAAUCCUGGCCCCAUGGCAGCUGCCCAAGGGAGUUGUGCACUGAUGCCAGGCCUGUGUGCUUAUAUGAGCGGAUGAGGAAUCAGUGCAUCAGAUCACCCCAACUUGCAUUGGGUGGUCAGUCCAGAUGUAGUCAGCCACCCCAAACAAAGCUGACAGACAGGCUAUUUCAGAAUGAGAUUCCUACACUGCUUUACCACCAUUUCCCACAUAGUGCUUGGAGGCUGUCACACCUAGCGGCUGGGUAGCACAAGGGUAAAACAAGUCUGCCCAACUGGAAGGCUUGGGUACUUGUGGAAACAGAAAAGAAAAGCAGCUGUCUGUGGGAGAACUGGGUUGGUAAAGUGCAGCGGUGAACUACUGGGAAGGACCAUAGCUCAGUAGGUAGAGUAUCUGUUUUGCAUGCAGGAGGCUCCAGGUUCAAUCCCUGGCAUUUCCAGGUAGGGCUGGGACAGAAUAUUUAUCUGAAACCCUGGGGAGCUGCUGCCAGUCAGUGUAGACAGUACUGCGCUACAUGGGCACCAUGGUCUGUCUUGGUGUAAGACAGCCUUCUGUGUUGUUCCUAUACAAAAUAAAAAUAAAGGAAAGUAUUUAACGUCAUGUAUGGUUGACUCACAUUCAGCAAGUGAUCUUUUUCAUCUUUUCAGCUGACUGGGCUGCCCCUUCUGUGUGUGAGGAACCCUGCACCAUUCUUCUGGAAAAUAACUGAAUCAUUCUGUCACACAAGUACAAAUAUAUUUUAUUUUUAUUUCAUAAAAUGUCAUUAAAUUUAUGUCCCAUGAUUGUUAAAAAAAAAAAGAGCAAAGCUCCAAGUGAUUUAUGAAAAGAAUAGUUGGAACAGCUAUUAAAUGGUUGAAACAACUACUAUUUAAAAUAUUUAAACAUAAUUAAAAUGAACAAUAAGCUAAAAAACAGAUUAAAGCACAUGUCAACAUUUUACAUGUCUGGAUCGGCGUGCCUAAACAAAUUUGCUUUUAGCAGGCACCAAACAGAAUACGGAGAAGGCACCCACCUGAUGUCCAGUGGCAAGGAGUUCCAAAGUGGGGGUGUUGCCACGCCGAAAGAUUGAUUUCUUAAAAAGGUAGAAUGAGAAUUAUGUGGCUCUUGUAACAGUGCAGAUCAAAGCGAUCCAGUGGGCAUAUAUGGGGUAAGGUGAUCUUGCUGGUCCCAAGCUGUUAAGGGAUAUGAUAACAUACGCCCAGUGACAGAAGGGUCACUGGAAGGAGUCAAGGGCAGACCCAUGAUCCGCUGGACAGUUCCCUCUUGGGUGGAGAAUCUGAGCUUGCAAGAGCUUUUAAUGACUGGAUACAUCUACUUCUCCCAGCACACUAUAAUGAAUAAGUGAUGGAGGAACCUGCGAACCUCCAGAUGUUGUUGGAGAUUCCUCACUGGCCAGGCUAGUUGCAGCUGUUGGGAGUUGAAGUCCAAUUGGGGAUGCUGAGAAGGCAGCAGAUCCGACCUCCAACGAGCAUGUCACCACGGUGGUGGCGGCAGGUGAUGCAUUCCUUGGAGGCCGGAUCUGCUGCCCCUGUAGAUCCUGUUGCCUGAGGCCGUCGCCUCACCUUGUUUCAUGGGUGGGCCAGCCCGGAAACCUGAAAGCAGGAUCUGAGCACAACAGCAUUCUCCUCUCCUGCAGUCUCCAGCUACUAGCAUUCAGAGGCAUGGUGCCUCUGACAGUAGAGAUAGAACAUCAAUUGCGGCUAACAGACGUUGAUGAAUCUGUCUAGCUCUCUGGAUGCUUUAGGCUGGGCCUUAAAUUCAGAGAUACGCUCCAAAAUUGCAUCUCAACUAUUUAUAACAGAAGCUUUUCAAAGGCUGAAAAAGGAGAGAAAAAUUAAUUGUCAGCUGUGCUUGAAAAUGCAGCGUUUGGGGGGUUGGAAUUUUGAGGUGGUGAAGUGGAGAGAAACACAUUUGUGAGUGCAUAAAUUUAUGCAACGAGGGCUGUCUAUUUGUUUUUGCAGAACCCAGCCACAUUAGAAAAGCAGAUGUGCAAGAUGUGU